GGCAGGCUCUCCUCAGGCACUGGGCAUCCAGAAUGUCUCCCUCCAACACUGUCACCUUGGCUUUUGUCUGCAGCUCUGAGGAACACAAAGCAGGUCACUGGGAAGCUUUCUGCACAGUUGUUUUAGAUGCACCCUUCUGUGGAAACCUACAAGGAACAUCUUGAAUCAUUCAGUCAAUCCAAGCCUUUGGUAACCUACAAAACAACAGAGCCGUGGCACCCAUAAACUCUCUGCAACUGUGGUCAUCUGCACAAGACUGGGUCCCUCAACAUCUCAUCCAGGAUGGAGGACUGUCCCACGAGGUCCCACCCUUCUCCAAGGGACUACUGACAAUUAAAAGUUGUUGGAGGACUUACAUAUCAUUUUCUUCAAUGGUGUAGUCAUUUGUCAAGUUGUCCCUGCUCCAGUUAAUAACCUCCCAUUACACUUGGGUGAGAAACUCUAAAGUCAGGGGGCCACACACAGAAGAAGACACCAAAGUGAAGGGGGACUUGCUGAGAAGGGAACUGGUGCACACGAGAGACAUGGAGUGUAUAAAAUUACUGACACUGAUUAUAUAAAACUACGAA